rnacentral:lncRNA from 1 species
AUGUUCCUUUUGAUGAUUGCAGAGGAGGAACAAGAGGGCACAUCUCACCACCUGCAGAUGAAGAGAUUGCUUCGCUUCAAACCUCCUGACUGCCAUGGAACCAUCUGGCACAUGCACGUGUGUGGGGAGGUGAGACACCAGCUAACACUAAAGUCUUCAGCUGGUAUGGCAUUAUUUCUUAUGGAGUGUUACAGUAGCGACCGAGGUGACACUGAAGGAAAAUUCUGUGACAGUAUGUUAAGUAAGAUAUUACUGACAGCCCUGCUGAGCGGCGAUGCAGAACUGCAUGUCGUGGAUCUAUUCUCACCUCUUCAGCCCCCACCAAAUGGUCUCCAUUUGUGGCAUGUGCAAGCAGAAUGGAAACAUGAAUGGAAAAUCAUGUUCUUUUUUUUGAAUUCACUUGUUUGCAUUCCAUUAAUAGGGCUGGGAUGGAGGCUCAAAUCUGGUAUAAAAGAUACAUUUAUCAGUCCUGUAUCAUACUGUUGUACCUUUCUACCAGAGGUAGGAAAAUGGAGAGGCACCAAUAGGCCUGAGUUCUAG